GCCUGGAUAGCUCAUUUGGUGCUGAUAGCAUGGUGCUGAUAAUGCCAAGAUUGCAGGUUUGAUCCCUGUAUGGGAUA